rnacentral:lncRNA from 1 species
UGUCUCUAUCCCACUUUAGCUCAUUCUGUCUGUCUCUAUCCCACUGUCACUGGUUCUAUCUGUCCGUCUCUAUCCCACUGUCACUGGUCCUAUCUGUCUGUCUCUAUCCCACUGUCACUGGUUCUAUCUGUCUGUCUCUAUCCCACUGUCACUUGUUCUGUCUGUCCGUCUCUAUCCCACUGUCACUGGUUCUAUCUGUCUGUCUCUAUCCCACUGUCACUGGUUCUAUCCGUCUGUCUCUAUCCCACUGUCCCUGGUCCUAUCUGUCUGUCUCUAUCCCACUGUCACUUGUUCUGUCUGUCCGUCUCUAUCCCACUUUAGCUGGUUCUAUCCAUCUGUUACUGGUUAUUUCUGUCUGUCUCUAUCCCACUGUCGCUGGUUCUGGGUGUCCGUAUCUAUCCCACAGUCGCUGGUUCUAUCUGUCUGUCUCUAUCCCACUUUAGCUCGUUCUGUCUGUCUGUCUGUCUCUAUUCUACUGUCGCUUGAUCUAUCUGUCUGUCUCAAUCCCACUGUCGCUGGUUAUUUCUGUCUGUCUCUAUCCCACUGUAGCUCCUUCUAUCUGUCUGUCUCUAUCCCACUUUAGCUUGUUCUGUCUGUCUGUCU